UACGAAGGGGGCGAGCGUUGUUCGGAAUUACUGGGCGUAAAGGGCGCGCAGGCGGCUCGACAAGUCAGAUGUGAAAGCCCCGGGCUUAACCUGGGAAUGGCCGUCGAAACUGGCGAACUGGAGUGUGGCAGAGGGGGGUGGAAUUCCGCGUGUAGCAGUGAAAUGCGUAGAGAUGCGGAGGAACACCGAUGGCGAAGGCAGCCCCCUGGGCUGACACUGACGCUCAGGCACGAAAGCGUGGGGAGCAAACAGG
rnacentral:rRNA from 1 species